GAUGAACGCUGGCGGCGUGCCUAAUACAUGCAAGUCGAGCGAACAGACGAGGAGCUUGCUCCUCUGACGGUAGCGACGGACGGGUGAGUAACACGUGGAUAACCUACCUAUAAGACUGGGAUAACUUCGGGAAACCGGAGCUAAUACCGGAUAAUAUAUUGAACCGCAUGGUUUAAUAGUGAAAGACGGUUUUGCUGUCACUUAUAGAUGGAUCCGCGCCGCAUUAGCUAGUUGGUAAGGUAACGGCUUACCAAGGCAACGAUGCGUAGCCGACCUGAGAGGGUGAUCGGCCACACUGGAACUGAGACACGGUCCAGACUCCUACGGGAGGCAGCAGUAGGGAAUCUUCCGCAAUGGGCGAAAGCCUGACGGAGCAACGCCGCGUGAGUGAUGAAGGUCUUCGGAUCGUAAAACUCUGUUAUUAGGGAAGAACAAAUGUGUAAGUAACUAUGCACGUCUUGACGGUACCUAAUCAGAAAGCCCCGGCUAACUACGUG
rnacentral:rRNA from 1 species